CUUUUUGGCAUUCCAAUCUCAGCUUUGAUGUCAUCUCAGAGACAUGCAAACUACAGUAAGUCUUAUAGCCAUCACUCUAGUAAAGUCGCCAUAAAGUACCUGCCACGGCUGAUAGUUUUGUCAGUGUCUGUGUUUGGUGUCUCUCACCUUCUCCAUCUUAUCUGCCACAUGGGUAGGAACCUUGUCUGUCUGUCUCUGUGAUGCUAAAAUGGUGUGUGGCACGUAGUAGCUGCUCAGUGAACACCUGCUAAGUUAAUGUUGCACGACACUGGGAUAGGAUGGCUGGGGUUUCUGCUUAUGCUCCAAAGUGUGC